rnacentral:rRNA from 1 species
GAUGAACGCUGGCGGCGUGCCUAAUACAUGCAAGUCGAGCGAACGGACGAGAAGCUUGCUUCUCUGAUGUUAGCGGCGGACGGGUGAGUAACACGUGGAUAACCUACCUAUAAGACUGGGAUAACUUCGGGAAACCGGAGCUAAUACCGGAUGAUAUUUUGAACCGCAUGGUUCAAAAGUGAAGGACGGUCUUGCUGUCACUUAUAGAUGGAUCCGCGCUGCAUUAGCUAGUUGGUAAGGUAACGGCUUACCAAGGCAACGAUGCAUAGCCGACCUGAGAGGGUGAUCGGCCACACUGGAACUGAGACACGGUCCAGACUCCUACGGGAGGCAGCAGUAGGGAAUCUUCCGCAAUGGGCGAAAGCCUGACGGAGCAACGCCGCGUGAGUGAUGAAGGUCUUCGGAUCGUAAAACUCUGCUAUUAGGGAAGAACAUAUGUGUAAGUAACUGUGCACAUCUUGACGGUACCUAAGCAGAAAGCCACGGCUAACUACGU